rnacentral:lncRNA from 1 species
GUCCCUUUUGUUGCCCCCCAUGUCCUUGGGCUGUGGUUGUGUCCUGUGCGUCCCUUCCUGCCAUAUGAAUGUCUCCAGCAUCUGGCCACUGUCCCCAAGCUGUGGCUAUGUCCUGUCACCCUAAGUGCCCCUUGGCCUUGUCCUUAGCUCUCUCCUACCUCUGUGUACCCCUCUGAGAACUUCAGCCAGGGACAGGGAGAAGUACAUACGAAUCUCACACCACGGAGCCACAUGGGUCUGUCACGCUGCAUCCUGCCUGGGCUGUCACGUCCUGUGGGACACCAGGGGAUACACCCUGGGUGCUAGUGGGCUUGUGGCACCAAAAUGCCCGGGGCCUGAUGAGGGUCCUGGGGGCUCCUGGCGUCUCCAGAAGGGUCCCAACUGUCCCCAGGGACUGACCUGAGGGGUAGUGGAAAACCAGGAUGAAGGUUCACUUUCCCCAUUCCCCUGUGUUGUGGCAAAGGGGAAAGGUUUUGUGAAGAGCACAGUGGUGUUGGAUUCUGUUCAUAAAGAUUCUAGACCUCAGUUCCCUUCCCGUAUCCAAAUUAGAAUGAAAGAUAGUAUUAACAAUUCAUCUUCUGAGGAAGAACCUCUGAGCACUUGUAACUGGCAGUGCUUUGAUAUUCUAGGUAACCUGUUCCAUAAGGAGUGCUGGGUGAUGCUGACUGAUACUGUCAAUUGUGAGCAUGCUCCACAGAAAGUUUCCCUCUGUGGGAGUGAGGAAACAAAAUGUGGUGAUUCAGUACUGUGGGGUUAUUAUGAGGUUACUAGAGUCUAGGAUUCUAGAGUCUGAGGAUUCUAUGAAUUGAUUAUUGGAGGAUUCUAUGAGGAUGCUAUGAGGAUACCAGCUCCUGUGAUUAUAAGUUCUGUUAUUUCAGAUUCUGUGAUCGUUUCAUGAUUCUAGAUUCCUUGACUCUGUGAUGAUUCUGGGCUUCAGUUGUGUGGUGAUUCUGAUUCCUCACUAAGAGUAUAGAUUCCCAGACUUGUAGCUACGCAAUACGAUGCGUUUCCAUCUCCACUCCUGUGCAUAGUGUGUGGCAUAGUUCUGAGUGCCUGACACAGCCCAAGCAAAAUCAAUUUCUGUAGGUUAUUACUAAAUAAAUAAAUAAAUCAAUAAAUUUCUUGCUUUAGUUUCUGCUCCCUGAUCCAUUUAUUUAUGUUCUCCCUUGCUUCAUAUGUAACUUCCAAACUUGGCAUUUUGCAGAUAAUACCUUUUCCCCCUUUCGUCCUUUGGUGGCCCCUAAUGGUCUCUUCUUUCUCAGUUAGAACAGUUGUCAUGAGCCUAUUCAUAUAGGAAUUUGGGACUGGAGUUCACUCCGUGACUCUUAUCAUAGUUGAUGUCCCUAGUUGCUAUCGUGCAGACUUCACCAAUUUAUAACAGAUGGAUACAGCUACGAUAUACACUCCUAAGAGGGAAGCAGGAAUGUAUAUUUAUUGAUGUAAUGUAGAUAUGCUGUAGUGAUAUGACAGUGACUUAACAAGACUGGAGAUGGCUGGAUACACUUGGUUAUUUUCCACAUAGAGGGCAGGAUUAAACACACACCUACAGGACGCUCUCCUUCUGUGUCAUGAGGAUCAGAGCAGACCCCGUUGCUGUCUGAACUCUUCAAACCACAGAGAUCACAGCAGUGUGAGUCUGACUGCGUCAGCGGAAGAGCUGCCUUCAUGGAGGUGCAGGUGCAGUCGGCCGUUGUGGAAUUCAUCCUGAACCACACUCUUCCACUCCAAAUCCAGCCCAGUCAUUGGAGAUGGAGGAGUCUCUAUAGGUUAAUCAGCAGGGCUGUUCAGCUGCAUGGCAAAGACUGCGUGGGCCCUGCAGCUGUUGCCCAGUUCUCUGCCUGCAUUGCUGAUUCGUGGCUUUAGGAUGAGGAAUUAACUGCAACGUGUUUGUGCCCAGCCCUGGAACCUACAGCUUUCCUUG